GGGGCUGUAGCUCAGUGGCAGAGCACUUGCCUAGCAUGCAUGAAGCAUUGAGUUAGAGCCUCAGCACCA
rnacentral:tRNA from 1 species